rnacentral:rRNA from 1 species
AACGAACGCUGGCGGCAUGCCUUACACAUGCAAGUCGAACGAAGCCUUCGGGCUUAGUGGCGCACGGGUGCGUAACGCGUGGGAAUCUGCCCUUGGAUUCGGAAUAACAGUUAGAAAUGACUGCUAAUACCGGAUGAUGUCUUCGGACCAAAGAUUUAUCGCCCAAGGAUGAGCCCGCGUAGGAUUAGGUAGUUGGUGGGGUAAUGGCCCACCAAGCCGACGAUCCUUAGCUGGUCUGAGAGGAUGAUCAGCCACACUGGGACUGAGACACGGCCCAGACUCCUACGGGAGGCAGCAGUGGGGAAUAUUGGACAAUGGGCGAAAGCCUGAUCCAGCAAUGCCGCGUGAGUGAUGAAGGCCUUAGGGUUGUAAAGCUCUUUUACCAGGGAUGAUAAUGACAGUACCUGGAGAAUAAGCUCCGGCUAACUCCGUGCCAGCAGCCGCGGUAA